CAGUCGCCACGGUAAAACGGAGGAUCCGAGCGUUAUCCGGAUUUAUUGGGUUUAAAGGGUGCGUAGGCGGCCUGUUAAGUCAGGGGUGAAAGACGGUGGCUCAACCAUCGCAGUGCCCUUGAUACUGAUGGGCUUGAAUGUACUAGAGGUAGGCGGAAUGAGACAAGUAGCGGUGAAAUGCAUAGAUAUGUCACAGAACACCGAUUGCGAAGGCAGCUUACUAUGGUACUAUUGACGCUGAGGCACGAAAGCGUGGGGAUCGAACAGGAUUAGAUACCCCUGUAGUCCCUGUCUCUUAUAC
rnacentral:rRNA from 1 species